AAGCAUCGACCAAGUCAAUCUAACCGGGGGAAAUCAAGAUGUUACUAUUAUUUUUUUUGAUGCGUAGGUCGGAAUUUCAGACAAUCUGAUGAAUGGAAAAAAAAUAAUGAUAAUAAAUUUGGAACGCUCAAUCUCACUCAGAUUUGUUAUGGCAAUACUUACACUUAAAGAUUUUUAUUCUAGAUUUCCAAUUUUUCCCUAGACCUGCUGGUGCACACGGCAAUUAAGCCGCUGAUAAAUGUCUCAAAGAUUUCAUUAAUGAUUUGCCUCAUGAUAUGCCUCCGCACAACAUGCUCAUCAUUAGCAAUGACCAUGGCUUCAAGCCUUGGUUGGAUAAGUUGAGAGCUAGAGCUAGAGUUAGAGAACAAGAAGCUAGCGCUCGCGGCUGAAAAAGAAGCAAUGAAGUACUUAGAUAGCUGGAAGGUGCACACAAGGAAUGGAACUGGAACAAAAAGUUCAUUCCUUUUCAUCGUCUUCUUUAUGAGAACCAAAAAGAUGAAGAAGAAGAAGAUGAAGAUGGCCAAGAAGAAGAAGAAGACCAAGAUGAAGAAGAUGAUGAAUAAGAAGAACAGGCCAAGAAGAAGAAGAAGGAGAAGAUGAGUAAGCUUAGGAACAAUCUUUUGUAUCUCUGCUAUCACAUGAGACUUGUUUAUCACAGUUAAGUCGGAAGGUGGAUUUGGUCAAGUCAUAGAUAAUAUGGUUUUUGCUA